UGGUAAGUCCGCAACGAGCGCAACCCCUAUUGUUAGUUGCCAUCAUUCAGUUGGGCACUCUAGCGAGACUGCCGGUAAUAAACCGGAGGAAGGUGGGGAUGACGUCAAAUCAUCAUGCCCCUUAUGACCUGGGCUACACACGUGCUACAAUGGUUGGUACAACGAGUUGCGAGUCGGUGAUGGCGAGCUAAUCUCUUAAAGCCAAUCUCAGUUCGGAUUGUAGGCUGCAACUCGCCUACAUGAAGUCGGAAUCGCUAGUAAUCGCGGAUCAGCACGCCGCGGUGAAUACGUUCCCGGGCCUU
rnacentral:rRNA from 1 species